GCAUCAAACACAGCUGGACUCCAUAUUUCAGCUGCUGGAGGAAAACAUCAUCACUUUUGUGAAGGACGAGCUGAAGAAGAUCCAGAAGAUCCUGAGUCCAGAUUACCCAGAAUGCUUAGAGAGGGAGGAUGAAGAGCAGAGGAGGAGCAGCAAAGAGGCAUUAGUGAAGAUCACAGUGGACUUCCUGAGGAGAAUGAAGCAGGAGGAGCUGGCUGAGCGUCUGCAGAGCAAAACGUUUGCUGCAGUUUGUGGACGUGAACUUAAAUCUGCUCUGAAGAAGAAGUUCCAG